rnacentral:lncRNA from 1 species
UAAACACUAGGACAACACAGGAUCCUUCUGCAGCGCGAUCCAACGGACGAAAUCUUCCAGCACCUUGAUCGGACGGUCUGCGAUGCAUCCGACCUGAUCCCAUCUCUGCAGUGCGAUCCAACGACAGCGCUUCACCCAGAUCGUGAUACGAUGGUCCAGAAUCGCUUCCGGCUUGAUUUAUUAGAUGAAUUGGGUCUUUUAGAUGA